rnacentral:lncRNA from 1 species
AAAUCAAGAUUUCACUUGCACGUUCACUCAUAUAUGCUACUUCUACUCCGGAAGUACCAUCCACAUAUAUCCACUCGUUUCCAUCUCCAGAAUCACCUAAAAAUAUUCUACUCCUAAUCCGGGAGAGAAUACCCAAACAUAUUUUUGUUUUUCCCUUGUGAAAUAAAUGCUCAAGUUAUCUUGUUACUACCACUUGCUACAUUAUUUCAAGAGAUGAGUGCUCUGAAAAAAAACGAGGAAAUAAAAAGGAGCAAGUGCUCGGAACCUCGAAAGAAAAGAAAAGUGAGACCAGAGGUAAAAAUGGACAAGUGUCCGACACUAGAAUUAGGGGUACAAGAUACCCACCUGAGAGAAAAAAAAAUAUAUAUAGAGCAUCUCAUUCUCCUCACAAAGUUUCAAAAAGCAAGAAAGGUAUGUAUCCCCUCAAAAGAGCAAAAGAAGAAUUAGACUUCCAUCACCAUUGUUUUCACCAUUGUUAUCACCAUCAUCACCAUACACCAUUCAUUCGGCACACAUGCACAUCUUGAUUUGGCUUAUUGAUUUGUUUUUUUGGAUCCAUGGUUUGACUAUGCAAUACAUGUCUUGUAAGUAUGUAUAUUUUAUCUCCCACCUAUGAGCUCCAGAUAUUAAAGCCUUAUUAGAGUAGGGUGAGGGAGAAGGCAAUGUUACUAUGCCUUAUACCACAAAUACGACAUAUCUUGAGAGA